CACAGGUUUAUACUAUUUAUGUCCAACAUUUGAUCCAUCUUAUUUACUUUUUUUAUGAUUAAUAUUUUUGUUGUUAUUAGAUGAUAAAACAUGAAUAUUAUUUUAUGUGUGACUAAUUUUUAAAAAAAACAUAAAAAUUUCAAAUAAAAUGGACGGUCAAACAUUGGAUACGCAUAACAACGCUGUACACUUAUU
rnacentral:pre_miRNA from 1 species